UACGUAGGUGGCAAGCGUUAUCCGGAAUUAUUGGGCGUAAAGAGCGCGCAGGUGGUUAAUUAAGUCUGAUGUGAAAGCCCACGGCUUAACCGUGGAGGGUCAUUGGAAACUGGUUGACUGGAGUGCAGAAGAGGGAAGUGGAAUUCCAUGUGUAGCGGUGAAAUGCGUAGAGAUAUGGAGGAACACCAGUGGCGAAGGCGGCUUCCUGGUCUGCAACUGACACUGAGGCGCGAAAGCGUGGGGAGCAAACAGG
rnacentral:rRNA from 1 species